GAUGAACGCUGGCGGCGUGCCUAAUACAUGCAAGUCGAGCGAACGGACGAGAAGCUUGCUUCUCUGAUGUUAGCGGCGGACGGGUGAGUAACACGUGGAUAACCUACCUAUAAGACUGGGAUAACUUCGGGAAACCGGAGCUAAUACCGGAUAAUAUUUUGAACCGCAUGGUUCAAAAGUGAAAGACGGUCUUGCUGUCACUUCUAGAUGGAUCCGCGCUGCAUUAGCUAGUUGGUAAGGUAACGGCUUACCAAGGCAACGAUGCAUAGCCGACCUGAGAGGGUGAUCGGCCACACUGGAACUGAGACACGGUCCAGACUCCUAAGGGAGGCAGCAGUAGGGAAUCUUCCGCAAUGGGCGAAAGCCUGACGGAGCAACGCCGCGUGAGUGAUGAAGGUCUUCGGAUCGUAAAACUCUGUUAUUAGGGAAGAACAUAUGUGUAAGUAACUGUGCACAUCUUGACGGUACCUAAUCAGAAAGCCACGGCUAACUACGUG
rnacentral:rRNA from 1 species